GGACCAGUUGCCUAGUCUGGAUCGGGCGCUGGCUUGCGGAGCCAGAGGUCGGGGGUUCAAAUCCCUCCUGGUCCA
rnacentral:tRNA from 1 species